UACGUAGGUGGCAAGCGUUGUCCGGAUUUAUUGGGCUUAAAGGGUGCGUAGGCGGCCCUGUAAGUCAGUGCUGAAAUACCCCGGCUUAACCGGGGGGGUGGCAUUGAUACUGCAGGGCUUGAGUACAGAUGAGGUAGGCGGAAUUGACGGUGUAGCGGUGAAAUGCAUAGAUAUCGUCAAGAACACCGAUAGCGAAGGCAGCUUACUGGGCUGUAACUGACGCUGAUGCACGAAAGUGUGGGGAUCAAACAGG
rnacentral:rRNA from 1 species